rnacentral:lncRNA from 1 species
AUCUUUUCAUAUAAAAACAUUCUUUUGAAGUUGAUCUCCUAGAAGGUAUUUUGAAAAUACAAUAAUAAUAAUCAUUGCUUGUUCUUUUGGGUUUGUUGUUAUUAUUUACUAACCUGUUUUGAAUUGGUUUUCAUGUUUUCCAAAGCUUUUACCUUUAUCUAACAAUAGUACAUCUUCUAUUAGGUGAGAGAAGCCCAAGGAGAUAUAACAUGUGUUUUCUCUUUUUGUUAUGAUGUUAACUGUGCACAUCAAUUUCACAGGGCCUUGUUUUAGGAGCUUGGAGCUUUUAGCCUAUUCUAAUUUGUAAGGCUGGAUUAUGGAGGCAAUUUAAGGAAUUAUUACAGCACCUAUCCUUUGCCCUCUUCUUGGCCAAACUGCUUAAUUAACUUAGUUAAAAUACAGUCUGGUGUUCUGAGGGUCAUUGCAUUUAUGUGUCUUAAUAACUUACCUGUCCCUGUGCAAUAGUCCUUUUAUAAAAAAAUAAUAUGCAUCCAAUGUGAUGUAUGGAUCUUCAAGCUCACAAAAUGAGCUCAAACUUGAAAGAGAUCCAGACUGUAACAACAUUUAUUAUUUUGAGAGGUUUCCUAGUCAUUUUGAUGAAUUCGCUUGGAGUACUUUUCCCUGUAGCUCCCCAGGGAGAGGUGGAGAGCUGGGGGGAGAUGGCAAAAACACAAAUUUCCUUUGGUGACGGAGUUCACAUGUUUAAAACUGUAACAUGGCAAAAUCAUUGUGAAAUCUUCUAAUGGGUGCCUGUCCCAGGCCAAAUAAACCCAGCACCCAAGUCACAUAAAGAAAUCAUUGAAAGAUACUGGACUGAGUCCAAAAGGCCCUGGCUAAUGUUUCACCUAAUCUCUCUCCAGGUCUGUCCUGCCUGCAGCGGCCCCACCCACGAGAUACCUACUUCAGAGCUUCCUUGCAGCUGCUCCUUGGCUGUCUGCAUCCUUUAACCCCCUGGCAGAAGAAUAGAAUUUAUUAUGUAGCCAAGAAUAUAAGCACUGCUGCAGGACGGUAGAUACUGUUGGAAGCUAGCAUGCAUCUCCUGGAAGGGUUAAUACCCCUGGGAUGCAGUUGGGGAGUGACACAGGUCAGGCCCAGAGCCAAGGAAAAGGCCCCAGUGGGGCUUGAGAUGACACUGGGUCAGAUCCCAGGGCUCUGCAACCAGGGGUGGGAGUGUUUAUAAGCUGGGAACAAAAGUUUCAGGGGAAAAAAAAAAAAGCUCACUUUCUUUUCAAUUCUUUUAAUCUUGGCUCUAUCUCAGGCACUAGAGACUCAAGAACUUAGAGGGUAAGGGUGGGGUAGGGUGUGGUUUAAUGAUUUCUCUUUUUUUUUUUUCUUAAAGAGAAAGAACAGGGAAACUCUCCUUGAACACGUGUCAUUUGCUUGAGCAUUGAGUGCAGUUGUUAAUAAAAACGUUGGGUAACAGUCGGUUCUGUCUUUGGAACUGGCACUGUGAAAAGGUGGCAAUGACAGAUCAGAGAGCAGAAAGGAAUUCUGCUGCUGAUCAGGGAGGAAUUUGGACCUGAGAGACAUCUAUGAUGUUAAUUAUUGAUGAUUUCAGCUGGCCUAAGCCAGGCUUCUGCUUCAAGGCAAUAUGCCCAGGACUGUGACAAAAACCCUCAUCUAUUGCUAGUAAGGACUACUUGAGCUUCAGAGAAAGGUUUCCAAAUCCCAUAAGAGAGAAAAUACCACAAACACCCAGAAUUUUAGAUAAGUGCCUGACCUGGAACUUAUUUUUUUGAACAAUAGAAAUGCACCAUAUUGUUAGAAAACACCAUAUGUGAAAAUUCGAAUGUGCCAAACUAAAUAUAGAGAAAUACGGCAUUCUAUAGAAUGAUUUGUUACUAGAGCCUUUUAAGUAAAAGCCCCUUAAGCAUCUUUAAGGAUUGAUAUAGAUAUAUAUGUUAACCUUUCAGGAUCAAGUAGAGGAAAGUCUCUCUGGCGAAGAUCACUCUUAAUAUGGAGUAUGCGGGCUUUGGAGUCACGCAGACCAGGGUUGAACCUGUAGGCAUGUGAUUGUGGUCAAAUUACUCCACCCCUCUGAUCUGUGGUUUUGCCAUCUUUGCCAUUUAUAAAAUGAGGGUGGGGAUAGCACCUGCCUCCUAAAUCUUAGGUGAUCUGCUACAUAUGCGGAGAUUGGGGAAUCACUAACACCCAGUAUGGGCCUUAUAGCUCUUAAUUUACAGCUCUUAGCUUCCUGUGUACUCUCUUUCCUGUCACCGGGACUGAAGGGAAAGUGAGGAACAAGAGACAGAUAAGCGAGAAAUGAAAGACUGAGACCAGGCAGAGAUACCUAGGAGACAGUUUCUUUGUCAGGGCUGACAAAUAAAGGCCAUCUCUCUGUAGAUGGAUAGAGGCAAAACAGGCUUGGGUUACAGGACUUUUAUGGGGCAGGCUUAGGAAUCAUAACUAGGCAGAUCUUAAUGCGGGGGUGGUUAGGGGUUGGGUUGGUAUGAGGGAGUGGAAAGCCUUUCUCAGAAAGGUCCUUGAGUGAGAAAGCAAAACUUUUUCCUUAAAAUAGAGACUAUCACUUCAGAUGGCCAUCCAGAUGCUAAGAAAGGACCUUAUAGGGACCGUGUAGCACAGCAAGCAGGGAACAAAAGAAAAUUCAGCCUUUUUUUUUUUUUUAGUUUUAUGUCAAGUAAGAUGAAAUCUCGAACAAAUGAGGCUGUUUCUGCCUUUCUCAUAAUUAUUUAUUUUUUAAAACAAAUACUUACAUCACAUUUACUAUGUGAUAGGAACCUUCUAAGCCCUUGACAAACACUGACUCAUCUAAUCUUUCCUAACAACCCUGUGAAAUGUGGACUCUUAUCAUUCCCAUUUUGCAGUGGAGGAAACAGAAAUUCAGAGCUUAAGUAGCAGGUGCAGGGACACAUCAAGGAAGUGGCCAGCCUGGAUUUGAACCCGUGCAAUCUAGUGCGUUCCUAGAUUGCAGGGCAUGCAGUUUAUUUGUGAGGGGUUACUGAGACCAAAGCAAGCCAGAUGAAAUUCCAGGGCCAGUUCCCCACAGUCUAGAAAACAAGAGCAGGGCUCGAAUAAUUGACAUUACAAAACUCUUCAUUGAUAAGUUUUCAGAGCCUGAACCUCAGACCAGAGAGACCCAGUGAGGUCCACUGAAUGAGCAAGUGGACUUCCUCGUCCUUCGGCACAUUGCCCACCAGUCUGCUCCACCAGCAGGAGGGUGCAGCUCCUCUCCUCCUCGGGGUUCUUGACUCUUCCUGGCCCCAUUGGCUCAGUGACUGUGAACUUGUUGGCUGUUGCAGCUUGAGAGGGUGGAAGGGUGACUAUAGGGAGUGAAGUGUUAGAGGAAUAAAGAACAGAAGAAACUAUUUGUUUUAAAUUUUCAGUAAUUAAUUUUGUUUUAAUUAUUAUUAUAAAAGCAAUACCCAUUUUGGCAGAGAUUGCAAAGUGGCUCCUCAACCCCAUUUCCCAGACCCCUUCUCCCUUCUGUCUUCCAGGUAGAGUGAUCAUGGGACACAAAUCUCCCCCAUCAGGCUUACUUCUGCCCUGGAGCUCCUGCCUUUGCUUGGAGUAGUCCUUUCUGUCCCCAUUCUUCUCUCUUUGAAUGCAUAUGUGACAACUGGGACACAGGGGCCACCUCAAGUCCACGAAGGAAAAGUCAAGAAAAUUUCAGACCUGGGUCCUGGCAUUGUGGGGCUGCUGAAUUGCUAGGGUUUGCUUUUUUGUUGUUUGCAGCCAAUAAAAUGUUCAUUGUAGAAAACUAGAAAAUACAAAGUGUGUGAGUAGAGGACAUUAACUGUGAUCCUGUCUUCCAGAAAUAACCAAAAUGGCUAUAUCAACAUAUAUUCCUUCAAUUUUUCUUCUUUAUUGUUUUUAAAAAAAUAUGGAGUAGAAACACUGUUUUAUAACUGUUUAUUUUACUUCCCAAUGUGUUAUGGACAUUUUUUUAAAAAAAUCACCUAUAUUCAUCCACUUGUUAUUGUAUGGAUUUUCCAAGGUUUCCUUAAUUCUAUAUUGUCAAAUAUUUGUUAUUUCCAAUUUUAAAUACUCUAAACAAUGAUAGUAUGAACGUGUUUGAAGGCGCAUCUUUGUCUGAUUAUUUCCUUAAGAUGAAUUCCUAAAAUUGCUGUGAACUGAUGAGCCAAAGAGAAUGCAGAUCUAUAGAUAAAAGGCCCUUUGGAAAGGUUUUAUAGUUCACUUGUAGUGUGUGCCUUGCUUCACAUCAUCAUUGUCCAACUGGGACUUAUCACCUUUUUAAAAAUAUCAGCCUCAAAAGGGGCUGAAGUUGUGGCUCAGUGGUAGAGCAUUUGCCUCACAUGUGUGAGGCACUGGCUUCGAUCCUCAACACCACAUAAAAAUAAAUAAACAAAAUAAAAGUAUUGUGUCCACCUAUGACAAAAAAAUUUUUUUAAGAAGGCAAUGUGUAGAUUAAAUCAAUUUAAUAAUUUCAUUAUGGAAUUUGUAUUGCAUUAUUGAAUUUGACAUCUUCCCAUUUGCCAUUUCCAGUUCUAUUAAUUACUAAUAUGUACCCGAACGCUGGGCUAGGUAGCUUACCUAUGCUAUUUAUUUAUUUAUUUUUUGGAUCAGCAACGCCUUUAUUAAGCAGCAGAGGGGGAAAUCCUAUUUCUUUUAAUCCUAACAGCCACUGUCUUUCAUUUAAUGAGUGAAGAAAGUAUAGCUCAGAGGCUAAGUAAUUUGCUUAAGAGCACACAACUAGAAAGGGAUCGAACUGGACUUCAUGACUAGGUCUGCCUAACUCCAAAGCAGAUACAAUAAUAAAGAAAUACUUUCCUUUUGGGGUGUUAUAUAGGUUCUCCAAGUCCUAACUGAAUCAGUCAGGAACCACGAGCUAAGAGAUAACGCUCUAGAGGGGUUAUUUAAGGGAGUUCAUGGAAGGCACUAUUUACAGAGGUAUGGGCAGGGUGAAGGGGCAAUCAUAGGUGGUGAAGCACCAAGGGAUUAUCAUUGGCGGGAAGCCAUUGUCUUCUUAUCCCCUCUUGGUCAGCUCAAUGUCUAGGAAUCGGGUAUCUUCAAAAACCCUGUUUUAAGGACAGAGCCCCUGCAUCUCUGUUUAAGCAGAGCCCCCAUCCCCUCCCAUCACUCCUAGAAUUGCCUCUGUUGUUUAUGGAGAUAUGAAUUAGUAGUUGAUGGUUUUAAACUGUCCUUAUAUUACAGCUUUGAAAUAGUAGCUAGUGGUACCCUCCUUAGCAUGAAGGAAAAAGAUACGAGGGCGACAUUCAGACAAGGAUCCCGACCAAGACAGAUGGAAACAAAUGAAAGCCUAAUGAGGUUUCUCCAGAAGAGCCUUCUAGUUCUAAUGUUGUGGACUAUGGAGCCAGACUCUCUGAUCUUGUCCCCAUUGAGUUCCACCGUUUCAAGCAAUGGAUCUUGGACAAGGGAUUGAACUUCUCUGAGUUAAUAUGUAGGAAGAACUGAAAACCAUGCUGGACACACAGCCAGCACUCGAUGCCGGGCUCAUGAAUGGAGGAAUGAAGGGAGAAGAGAUAGAUGUUUAGUUGCUCUCCUUCCCUCAGAUACUACUGUCUCUGUCCUCUUGUGGUGCCCUCCAUCUCAGAGGAUUUGGAGGGAAACUGUGACUUGGAGGAAUAAGGGAGAAAGGAAGGGCACAGAGAGGCCCAGCCAUAUAUGUCUCGGUCCUUCCUUUUUCUGAGGUUGACAAAGACCCUUUAAUUCCUCAGUGGCAAUCCCCCAACCCACUAGAGGGAUGGUCCAAAGUACAGUUGUCCCUUAGUGUCAUCGGAGGCUUAGUUUCAAGACCCAAUGGAUUCCAAAAUCCAAGGAUGCUCAAGUCCUUUAUGUAAAAUGGUGCAGUAUUUGCAUAUAACCUGCACAUAUCCAUAUACUUCAAAUCAUCUCUAAAUUACUUAUGAUAUCUAAUGCUAUGUAAAUAGUUGUUCUACUAUGUUGUUUAGGGAAUAAUAACAAGGAAAAAAGUCUGUAUGUAUUCAAUGCAGAUGCAUAAUUUAAAAAAAUAUGUAUUUUUGGUCUUUGGUUGUUUUUAUCUAUAGGUGUGGAGACAGCAGAUUUUGAGGACCAAUGGGAUGGUUCUGUGAAUCGAGACCAGACUCUGAAUCCAGACAGCCCUGCAUGAAACAACCCAUCUCGCUCUCUGUGGAACAUCUAGGAUGAUAUUGGCUCAGAAGGCUGCUAUGGACGUUGGCUGUCAUUACUUCCAUGCCAGUCGGCCCAGAGAGCCACUCUGGACAAAGUCAUCAUCCCUUUGUCUUUGGCAGAUGCCAAAAUCAGUCCCACUCUGAGGAAGAAGCUUGUCUACUUCCCUGCUCUAUCCACGCCAGUUUGGCGGAUGCCACUAAUUCAGAAAAAAACAAAGCAAAACAAAACAGAAAACAUGAUUUGUGACCCUCACAAAUAGACUGGAAUUGGGAGUAAAUGUCAGAACUGCUAGGCACAGCUUCCUGCUGUAGUCCUGCGAAGACAGUGGGUAGAUGAUGGGCUGCUUACAUCAUCUGCAUAGCAGCUGACAACUUUCCCCUCAAUUUAAGUGGGGAGCCUCUAUUUAUCCCAUAAUGACAAGAGGGACAAUUAGUAGCCAUAGGAAAUUAAAAUAUAUUGAGCUAAAAGCUUCAAUAAAAUGUAUAUAAUAGGCAGGUCACAUUUUCAGUUAUAUGGUUCAUUAAUAUAUAUUCCCUAAAACUGAACAUCCCCAUAUAAUGAAAUUCUGAUACAACAUGGUUAGUAUAUACAAAAGGUGCUAUAAACUGCAGAGCUGCUGGGAUUAAUUCAAAGUUCUCUGAUCUUAAAGUCUUGUGUGUCGUGUCAUUGCAUGGGCCAGAAGGAACAUUCUAGAAAAGUGGAUGGGUUGAAAGAUGGUGACAGAGAUUUUUCAGGCCCACCUACUACGUACCAGGUGUUUAACAGGUGGUGCCAUAUUCAAUGUUCACUAAAUUUAUGUUAUACAGACAGUUUUCAGUAAACCAUCUGUUCCUGUGAUAAAAGCAUGCCUCAGGAAUUAUAAUGACUGGGAUUUCGAACUGGACUUUGCCACUUUCCAGCUGUGAGAUUUUAGAGGAGUUAAGUAGCCUAUCUGAGUCAGUGAGAAAUAGAUAAGCUAACGCAUGUAAAACACCUGGUACAUAAUAAGUGCCUAAGAAAUUUGAAUUUUUUUUUGUUGUUGUUGUUCUCAUUUCUGUCAGUGGUUCUCAGUUUGGGCUGCAUGCUGGAAUCACUUGAAGAGGUUUAAAAACUGGCUCUCCACUGAGUCCUUCCUCCAGAGAUUUGGAUUUAAUUGGUCCAGGGUGUGGCCUGGCCACUGGGAGGGGCUUUUUAAAAGCUCCCUUGGUGAAUCUAAAGUGCAGCCAAGGUUGAAAACCACUUGUCUUAAUCAAAUCAUCCAGUGUCACAGAGGGAGUUAGUGAGUGAUGCAAUAAUAAUAUUGCUAACCAUAUUGGGCAGAGUUAUCAGAACUGGGAAUGCUGGGAAUACUGCUAGGAAGGGAAAGGACAUCAAGGAGUGUGAGCUCCAUUGUGAGUCGAACGUCCGCCAGCCUCCAGAGUGCAAUUGUAUCAGACAAGGGAAAAGCCAGGCUGGUUUUAUUUUGAUCAAAGAUACCAUUUUGGGGGAAACCAAUUCCUUAGAUGAAGUCAAUGAGUUAAAGAACCCGGGGAUGUCAUUUUUCCAAUGCUUGCUCCAGGAACAAAGAUAAUUGUCAAGGUCCUGCUAUUAUAAGGGAGAGCUGGGAUUCUACUGUGUGACAUAUAAGGAAGCUCCUUAAGUUCACUGAGCUUCGAUUUCCCAAUUCACCUCUCACUUCUAAGGAGAACUGCCUGCAAUCUUGAUCCUCUCAGGAGAAGAAAAUGCCAUGUGUAUCUGCACCCACUGUUUGUAGAGCAGUCCCCUUUAUCUGAAGUUUAGCGUCCUUUGGUUUCCAUUACCCCUGCCUAACUGUGGUUCAAAACAUUAAAUGAAAAAUUCCAGA